UACAGAGGUCUCAAGCGUUGUUCGGAAUCACUGGGCGUAAAGGGUGCGUAGGCGGCGCAGCAAGUCAGAUGUGAAAUCCGGAGGCUCAACCUCCGAACUGCAUCCGAAACUGCUGUGCUCGAGAUCUGUAGAGGGACUUGGAGUUCUCGGUGUAGCAGUGAAAUGCGUAGAUAUCGAGAAGAACGCUCGUGGCGAAGGCGAAGUCCUGGGCAGAUUCUGACGCUGAGGCACGAAGGCCAGGGGAGCAAACGGG
rnacentral:rRNA from 1 species